AGGGGCUGUGGCUCAGUGGUAGAGCAUCUGCUUGGCACGCAGAAGGUCCCAGGUUCAAUCCAUGGAGUCUCCA
rnacentral:tRNA from 1 species